UUUAAACAGCUGUAUUAUCAAACUUUCUGUAACCAUCAGCAACACUUUCAGUUUCAUUUACGAGGAAACUAGAGCUGCCCACUCUCACUGCUUGCUCUCACACAAACACAGGGUUCAGAUACGCGACGGCAGCAGACACCAGAACGCAAGAUGAUGAAGAUGUCAGGAGGAGUCUUGAGUUGCUGUGUAGCUCUGUUGCUUGCCCUGACCUCUGUGUCAGCUGUACCAAAGGUCAAAUCAAUCAAUGGUUUGAAGAAUAUCGACUUUGGCUCGUCUGUGCCCAAGCACAGUCUUGUGCUGCUCCACUGGUUUGCCAACAUAGUUGAGAUUGACAGUGACAGUGUCAUAUGGCUGAACUUUGACCCAAACCGUGGAGAUUAUGGCUCACAUCAUUACGGAAACUAUGAGGGAAUGUUGGACCCACUGCCUCGGGGAAGUGAGUACUACACUAUUGGAAAUCUCUAUGAAGUCACGCACGAAGAGCUUCCAUCGUAUGUUCUUGAUCCCCCUACUGAGUAUAUGGGAGAUAACAGGGACAGGAUCAUAAUUAGAGUCCAGGAAACCAGACAGGGAGAUUUGCAUAGAGUAGAGCAGGUGUAUAUCACACAGCAUUAUGAUACUAACGACUAUCAGGGGACACCUUAUGAUCCAGAUCAUACUUACCAGAUCACUACUAACCUCUUAGGACAGAUCAGAGAGUUUUCAGUGAGAGGACGACAACGGCCACUGUUGCAUCUCAGACAUCGCUAUGGAAGAAACAUUGAUGACUUCCAAUAUAAUGACAUCAGACACACAUGGGGUAACCUUGCUUGCCUUGGACUACUGCUGUUUAUUGUGAUCGAAGAAAAUUGCUCCUCCAACCAGCGAAACAACAGACCGGAAAACAACAAAACACGGGAAAUCAACAACAGACCAGGAAACAGACAAGAUGACUGCGGUCAAUGUGCUUCAACAAUCGUCUAUGUCUUAAUUUUUUUUGUUGGUCUAGCCAUUCUUUACAAUGUAUAUGGCAACAAAUGAGGGAGACCAAUGAACCCAGCACAACUUAAAAAGGUCCAGUGUGUAGGAUUGGCAUCUGGCAUCUAGUAGUGCAGUCAGUUGAUGAUUGCAACCCCUUUGCCUCACCCUCUGAUGGCCACAAAACACACAGAACACACAAAAGUCCCUAUCUAGAGUCAGUAUUUAAUAUGUCUGUUCUGGCGGCCUAUUCUAAAAAGGUAACAAAAAUAUAAUGAUUCUUAUUUUUAUGUGAAAAUACACCAAUGAAAACAUUGUUGUGCAUAUUAUAUUGCAUUUCUGCCAUAUUCCAUAAAUAGAGCCCCCUAAAUCUUUACACACUGGACCUUAGUAUAAAGCCUCAGUAUAAUAUGCUUUUGAUAAAAAGCUUAAUACUUUAAAAUAACCUAUUUUUUAAACUUUGUGUCCACCAUGUUGAACUUCUACAUUCUACAGUUGCCCAGAAUGGACAACUAAACACUGGCUCUAGGUACGGCCCUCCAACAAGUUGUGUAUACUGUAUGUGUAUAAUGUUUUGUUUCAUAGUCGAUGUGAAAAGCAAUUAUAGUUUGUAGAAAGCAUCUUAUUCCUGCAAAAUAAAGAUCAUGCUUUAUAUAUUUUGA